UGGGGAAUAUUGGACAAUGGGCGCAAGCCUGAUCCAGCCAUGCCGCGUGAGUGAUGAAGGCCCUAGGGUUGUAAAGCUCUUUCACCGGUGAAGAUAAUGACGGUAACCGGAGAAUAAGCCCCGGCUAACUUCGUGCCAGCAGCCGCGGUAAUACGAAGGGGGCUAGCGUUGUUCGGAUUUACUGGGCGUAAAGCGCACGUAGGCGGACUAUUAAGUCAGGGGUGAAAUCCCGGGGCUCAACCCCGGAACUGCCUUUGAUACUGGUAGUCUUGAGUUCGAGAGAGGUGAGUGGAAUUCCGAGUGUAGAGGUGAAAUUCGUAGAUAUUCGGAGGAACACCAGUGGCGAAGGCGGCUCACUGGCUCGAUACUGACGCUGAGGUGCGAAAGCGUGGGGAGCAAACAGG
rnacentral:rRNA from 1 species